UUGUGACAAGGAAGCGAAUGAUAGACACCAAAAAUUGUUUAACUGAUAGUACGGUGAGGCGUUUCACUACAUCGGGUUGGAAAUGACGGAACUGAGGAUAUUGUGUUUGUGGAUCUUUAACAUUACGUGGAUAUCUGGUCAAUAUCUUACUGGAGAUAAUAUCUGUGGAAAUGAAACAUUUAUGACAUGCUGCAAAGAUUAUGUACAAGUUGCAAACACAUGUGUGGAAUGCGAGCCCGGAUACUGGGGCUAUAACUGCUCCUCGCCCUGUCCACCUAAUCACUACGGACGUAAAUGUAGCCAGAUAUGUGACUGUUCACCAUCAGAGUACUGUGACAGAGGGUGGGGCUGUUUGUGUAAUGAGACCAGUCUAAAUUGUACAAAUGCAGGUCAGAAAAGUGUUUAAUUUAUUUCUGAAAUUUGUCUAGCAAUCUAAAAAAUGUUUUAAAAACAAAUGAAUUUUCAAUGGAGCACAAUGAAAUGAUAAAACAUUGAUGUAUUUUAAGAAUUUCGACUAUUUUAGAAUCAUUACCUAUAAUUUCACACAAGUGAUGGAAACACAAAUUGGAGAAAUCAUUGGAAGAAGAACUAUAGAGCACAAUUAUCACCAAGGAGUACAUAUUUAAUGUGUCAGUUCAGAACGAUGAUUUACUUAUAGAGUGGAUCUCUAUCUAACAUGACGUGAAUAAAAUAAAAUAGGCAAAAUUUAGAAUUUUCUGGCAUAGGAAGUUUUACAUCGGUAUGAUAAAUCAAAGGCAAGACAGAUUAGUAUGGGUCGGCACGUGCCGGUGUUGUAUAAUAGUCUUUUCUAAAUAGUAGCUUUACACCCCGGAAAAAUGGCUAUAUAGUAGCCUUUCCACCUAGGGGGAAAGUCUACUAUAUAGUAGAUCUUCCCCCAUAGCAGGGUUACCCCCUCAGGUUUAUGGUUUUGAAUUUAGAAAACAGACUAUGGAAAGUCAGUCGGGCUUUGUACAACAAAUAUUGAUAUUGCAUAAAUAUGAGUAUCGAAAAGUGUAUAUUGCCGAUAGUUUGAAUGUAGAUACAUGAAUUUUUAUAGAGAUACAUUUUAGAUAUAUACUUUACGGUAUUACUGAGAAAGUAU